rnacentral:rRNA from 1 species
UACGUAGGGUGCGAGCGUUGUCCGGAAUUAUUGGGCGUAAAGCGCUUGUAGGCGGUUUGUCGCGUCUGCUGUGAAAAUCCGGGGCUCAACCCCGGACUUGCAGUGGGUACGGGCAGACUAGAGUCCGGUAGGGGUGUGUGGAAUUCCUGGUGGAGCGGUGAAAUGCGCAGAGAUCAGGAGGAACACCCGUAGCGAAGGCGGCACACUGGGCCGGUACUGACGCUGAGGAGCGAAAGCGUGGGGAGCAAACAGG